AACACGUACGCAACCUUCCUUUAACUGGAGGAUAGCCCCUCCGAAAGAGGGAUUAAUACUCCGUAACAUAAUGAUAAGGCAUCUUAUUAUUAUAGCUCCGGCGGUUAAAGAUGGGCGUGCGACUGAUUAGAUAGUUGGCGGGGUAACGGCCCACCAAGUCUGCGAUCAGUAACUGGUGUGAGAGCACGACCAGUCACACGGGCACUGAGACACGGGCCCG
rnacentral:rRNA from 1 species